UACGGAGGGAGCUAGCGUUGUUCGGAAUUACUGGGCGUAAAGCGCACGUAGGCGGCUAUUCAAGUCGGGGGUGAAAGCCCGGGGCUCAACCCCGGAACUGCCCUCGAAACUAGGUAGCUAGAAUCUUGGAGAGGCGAGUGGAAUUCCGAGUGUAGAGGUGAAAUUCGUAGAUAUUCGGAAGAACACCAGUGGCGAAGGCGACUCGCUGGACAAGUAUUGACGCUGAGGUGCGAAAGCGUGGGGAG
rnacentral:rRNA from 1 species